rnacentral:sRNA from 1 species
AUUCUACAAAACACAUAGAAUCGCCACUGAUUUGAGCGCUUCGCGUUGUUCUCGCACUGGCGUUGUAAAAGAGAUGGAAUCCAGCGAAAGAGCAACCUGACGAUCGAACCCUCCUUCAUCACCUGAGCAGGUCGCCCCAUGCGGUGGACAGGAAUAACUCUGGAUAGACUGUGGCAGCCACUGAUGCCUCAGCUGUGUCGCUGAAUCGACAAUGUGGGGCUCCGUCCGCUGCAGUAGGGACCAGUGAUCAACGGCGGAGCUGUUGGUUCACGUCCACGGGAAAUAAUGUCAGCCACCCACCAUUCAUACCCCGCCGAAUCAAAAGCUGGGCUUCAGCUUUGAGACACAGGAUGUACCGUACUCUUUGCCACAAACCGAGUCUUAUCGGAUUUCCCCCCCGCCAGACAUAGUCCUAUCCAAGCCAGACAGAAACGUAUGCGAACCUAACAAGCCAUUGUCAUCCUUCGACUUGGCCAUCGACAUCAAGGACUUUGACUAUGAUAACCAAGGAAGGAUCAACGCGGGCUACUAGAGUCUAGAUAAAUCUCUCUGUUGUUAGGUUUAUGGAUAUAUUCGUACAUUCAUUAAGAUAGUGGAUACACAUGUUUUCCAAUUGUUAAUUUAUUUAUACUAAGCUAAGUUUUGAUGAA